UACGUAGGGGGCUAGCGUUGUCCGGAAUCAUUGGGCGUAAAGCGCGUGUAGGCGGUCCGGUAAGUCCGCUGUGAAAGUCGAGGGCUCAACCCUCGAAUGCCGGUGGAUACUGUCGGGCUUGAGUACGGGAGAGGCGAGUGGAAUUCCUGGUGUAGCGGUGAAAUUCGUAGAUAUUCGGCGGAACACCAGUGGCGAAGGCGACUCACUGGCCCGAUACUGACGCUGAGGCGCGAAAGCGUGGGGAGCAAACAGG
rnacentral:rRNA from 1 species